AUUAUUAUAGUUUAAAUAUAAAAUAUUAAAUUGCAAAUUUAAAGAUUAAUUCACAAUUAUAAUAAUU
rnacentral:tRNA from 1 species